GUGCUCGCUCCGGCAGCACAUAUACUAAAAUUGGAACAAUACAGACAAGAUUAGCAGGGCCCCUGCACAAGGAUGACGAAACACUGAAGGUUUGCAAUGGCAA
ensembl:snRNA U6 U6 spliceosomal RNA